AACGAACGCUGGCGGCGUGGAUAAGACAUGCAAGUCGAACGAUCACUAGUGGGUAGCAAUAUUCGCUAGUGGGAGUGGCGCAAGGGUGCGUAACACGUGGGUAAUUUGCCGUAAAGUCUGGGAUAACUUGCUGAAAGGCGAGCUAAUACCGGAUGUGAUUGCUGGAGGGCAUCCUUUGGCACUUAAAGUUGGGGACCGUAAGGCCUGACACUUUUCGAUAAGCCCGCGGCCUAUCAGCUAGUUGGUGAGGUAACGGCUCACCAAGGCUAAGACGGGUAGCUGGUCUGAGAGGACGACCAGCCUCACUGGAACUGAGACACGGUCCAGACACCUACGGGUGGCAGCAGUCGAGAAUUUUUCUCAAUGGGGGAAACCCUGAAGGAGCGACGCCGCGUGGGGGAUGAAUGGCUUCGGCCCGUAAACCCCUGUCAUUUGCGAUCAAACCUUACGUUUUAAUAAAGCGUAAGCUGAUAGUAGCGAAAGAGGAAGGGACGGCUAACUCUGUGCCAGCAGCCGCGGUAAUACAGAGGUCCCAAGCGUUGUUCGGAUUCACUGGGCGUAAAGGGUGCGUAGGCGGUCGGGUAAGUCUGACGUGAAAUCUUCGAGCCUAACUCGGAAACUGCGUCGGAUACUAUUCGGCUAGAGGAAUGGAGGGGAGACUGGAAUACUUGGUGUAGCAGUGAAAUGCGUAGAUAUCAAGUGGAACACCAGUGGCGAAGGCGAGUCUCUGGACAUUUCCUGACGCUGAGGCACGAAAGCCAGGGGAGCAAACGGGAUUAGAUACCCCGGUAGUCCUGGCCCUAAACGGUGCACGUUUGCUGUAAGAGGAAUCGACCCCUUUUGUGGCGAAGCUAACGCGUUAAACGUGCCGCCUGGGAGGUACGGCCGCAAGGUUU
rnacentral:rRNA from 1 species